UAAGCCUGCGGGGGGCAGCAGUGAGGAAUAUUGGUCAAUGGGAGAGAUCCUGAAAGAGCCAAGCCGCGUGAGGGAAGACGGCCCUAUGGGUUGUAAACCUCUUUUGUCGGAGAACAAAACCCGGGACGUGUCCCGGACUGCGUGCAUCCGAAGAAAAAGCAUCGGCUAACUCCGUGCCAGCAGCCGCGGUAAUACGGAGGAUGCGAGCGUUAUCCGGCUUUAUUGGGUUUAAAGGGUGCGUAGGCGUGCCGUUAAUUCAGCGGUAAAAUUGCG
rnacentral:rRNA from 1 species